rnacentral:tRNA from 2 species
GCCUUAAUAGCUCAGUGGUAGAGCGCAUCACUCGUACGCCUUCGGCGAUAUGAUGAGGUCCACGGUUCAAUCCCGUGUUGAGGCA